UAAGCAGGCCGGACGGCCGCGGCGUCCUUGUGGCGUCGAGGAAAGUCCGAACUCCACAGGGCAGGGUGCUUGGUAACGCCAAGGCGGGGCGACCCGACGGAAAGUGGAACAGAAAGCAUACCGCCUACGUUACGCGUUUCGCGUGACCGGCAAGGGUGAAAUGGUGCGGUAAGAGCGCACCAGCAACCUGGCAACAGGUUGGCUCGUCAAACCCCACCCGGAGCAAUUCCAAAUAGGGGAGCAAUGGAACGGCCCGUUCCGCUCCCGGGUAGGAAGCUUGAGGCGCGCGGCGACGCGCGUCCCAGAUGAAUGGCCGUCUCAGGGCCGCAAGGCCCCAGACAGAAUUCGGCUUACAGGCCUGCUUACGAC
rnacentral:RNase_P_RNA from 1 species